AUCAGCCAUGUGGAAGUCCAGUGUAGUAUCUGUUCUCGUGAGGACAAUAGAAGAAGUAAAUUUUAGGAGCAAGGAGGUUGAAGGGAAGCUUGCUUCAUCCAAUUCAUGCAUUGACUUGGUAUUGCAGUACCUCUAGGAAUGGUGCACAUCCU
rnacentral:snRNA from 1 species